rnacentral:rRNA from 1 species
GGGAUUGCCUUAGUACGGCGUGAAGCGGCAACAGAAAUUUGAAAUCCCGCCCCCGGGGUCCGAGUUGUAAUUUGUAGAGAGUGCGGGGGAGACCGCGAUCUAAGUCCAUUGGAACAUGGUGUCAGAGAGGGUGAGAAUCCCGUAUGUGAUCGUGGAUCGAACCCAUGUGAAGCCUCUUCGACGAGUCGAGUUGUUUGGGAAUGCAGCUCAAAAUGGGGGGUAAAUUUCAUCUAAAGCUAAAUACCGGCUGGAGACCGAUAGCGCACAAGUAGAGUGAUCGAAAGAUGAAAAGCACUUUGGAAAGAGAGUUAAACAGUACGUGAAAUUGUUGAAAGGGAAGCGCUUGCAACCAGACCUGCCCGUAGGCGAUCAGCCGCUGUUCUCAGCGGUGCACUCGCUCUG